rnacentral:snRNA from 1 species
GUGCUCGCUUCGGCAGCACACAUACUAAAAUUGGAACGAUACAGAGAAGAUUAGCUUGGCCCCUGCGCAAGGAUGACAUGCAAAUUCGUGAAUUGUUGUUGUUUUCU